AGCUCCAAUAGCGUAUAUUAAAGCUGUUGCGGUUAAAAAGCUCGUAGUUGGAUUUCUGUCAAGGUGCGUCGGUCCUUGCUUCGCAAGCGUAUCUGAUUUGCACUUUGGCAUCCUCGCGGGGGGCGUUGGGGUGAUUGAGUUCAUCACAGCGUUUAUUCGCGACUUUUACUUUGAGGAAAUUAGAGUGUUCACGGCAGGCUUUAUGCCUAUUGAAUACAUUAGCAUGGAAUAAUAACAUAGGACCUUGGUGCUAUUUUGUUGGUUUCUAGAGCUAAGGUAAUGAUUAAUAGGGAUAAUUGGGGGCAUUCGUAUUAACGCGUCAGAGGUGGAAUUCUUGGAUUGCGUUACGACGAACUACUGCGAAAGCAUUUGCCAAGGAUGUUUUCA
rnacentral:rRNA from 1 species